rnacentral:rRNA from 1 species
CGAAGCAUGUAAAACAAUCCUUCGGGUGCGUUUUAUAUGACUGAGUGGCGGACGGGUGAGUAACGCGUGGGGAACCUACCGUAUGCAGGGGGACAACAGUCAGAAAUGACUGCUAAUACCGCAUAAGCACACAAUGCUGCAUGGCAUGGUGUGAAAAGAUUUAUCGGCAUACGAUGGCCCCGCGUCUGAUUAGCCAGUUGGCAGGGUAACGGCCUACCAAAGCAACGAUCAGUAGCCGGCUUGAGAGAGUGACCGGCCACAUUGGGACUGAGACACGGCCCAGACUCCUACGGGAGGCAGCAGUGGGGAAUAUUGCACAAUGGGGGAAACCCUGAUGCAGCGACGCCGCGUGAGUGAUGAAGUAUUUCGGUAUGUAAAGCUCUAUCAGCAGGGAAGAUAAUGACGGUACCUGACUAAGAAGCUCCGGCUAAAUACGUGCCAGCAGCCGCGGUAAUACGUAUGGAGCAAGCGUUAUCCGGAUUUACUGGGUGUAAAGGGAGCGCAGACGGCAGGGCAAGUCUGAUGUGAAAGUCCGGGGCUCAACCCCGGGAC